rnacentral:misc_RNA from 1 species
AAUGGUCCCAGGCCGAUGCCUCCUGGUGGCACUCCACCCGCCCCACCUCCUCCUCCUGGUGGUAGUGGUGCAAUGGCAAAUUUCACUCCUGGUGCUCAGGUGGGCAGGCCUCCAAUGCCUCCAAGUUUUUCUAGCCAACAGAUGUAGGACCAGGUUGUCGAUGUCUGGCUUCACUCCCAACAAGGGAUAGGUCUAUUAUCCUUCUGAGUGUUUGCAAAGCAUAUUGUUC